CCCCCCAAUAUGAAUUUUGCACCUUGAGGCACUGCACCACAAGAUAUAUUUAAUAAAUAGCUGAUAUGGAGAAUAGAUUCUUAACUUCCCUUUUCUGGGAGUGAAAAUCAGUUCCAUUCACCCAACUGGGGUUGUUUUAGAAGCAAGCAUGGAUUUCUGCAUGUUUUAUUGAUCUGAAUAGGACAGGUACAGACAUUUCUGCAACAAAAUCUGUCACUUGUGGAUCCCCCCACCUUUAUUUGCUACUCAUUGUUGCAAUAUUAAAAUAACUAGGCAAAACCAAGUAAAAGAUGAAAUGAUUGUAUUCAGUAAGUAAUUGAAAAUGUUAUUUGCUGUGUGAAAGACUUUCACUAAUGCAUAGGCUAAAAUCCACUGCAAAUCCACAGCAAAAUCAUGGCCCUAAAGGGAAUGUGCCUGCUGAAAAGGACCUAUUAUUUAAAUAAGGACACAGGCCUCAGGAAAGGGAUUUCCUGGUCUUCAGCGCUAACACAGCAGUAGAGUAGUCUGGAACAGAGCCAAGGGUCUUUACCAAGAGAGCAAACAGGAAUGUGACCGUAUGAGGAUGAGAUCUGAGCAUACUUAGGAGAGGAGCUGUGAAUUAUAACUAUUGUAGGAAUAGAACAACAGCACAAAGCAGACAAUCUGAAGAAAAGUACAAGAGUAUGGUAAGGACCAAGGCCAAGGUCAGGAUCAGGAUCAGUUUUUCAAAUGAAAUGGUAAAAACACACAAACAGGUUGAACCAUAAUCGGCAGGCAAAGCAUUGGUCGCCAUGCAUUACGUCAUCAGAAGGCGGCUGUUUCUUGCCAACACAUGCCAAACAGAAAGGUAAGGUAGGCCAUGGCCAAGUUAAGGGCAUCUACUACUAACCAAAUGAAGUCAUUGGCAGGUGCCGGGACACCCCUAUCAAACUGGACACGUUUAGUAAAUGUCAUUGUAUGAUUUGCUGUCCAUCGUUUGGUCAUAUUGCUCCAGCUUUACUUUUUAAUUUUCACUUGCAAAUCCUUUAUAUAUUGCAGAUGUUUUCCCUUUCAUCCAUGGCUUUUGUAUAUGGUAUAUGUUUUUUCACAUAGUGAUUUCUCUUUGUGAUCAUCUGUAUAAAUAACCACAAGCUGUGCAUAAAGAACACAGCAGCGUACAGGCCACAGUUGUGCUAACCUAAAGUGUAAAGUUCAUAUUAUUAUACAUGGCAACAAAUGCUGUUUACUGUUUCUAAAACAGGGUGAUCAGUCUACAGCACUGAUGUAUGAAGGGACAAUCUCGACAAAGGGACAAUAACAUAUUUCCAAGGAGGAAAAUAAGUUUCCAAAACGUAAUAUAUUGCUGGGCUGAAUUUGCCAGAGCAAAAGUUGAUCUAUUUUGUGAGUCUUUACUCACAUAUGUGACACAAGGGGACACUUGCAAUGCAGGUCAGUUAGGAGUAGUCGUUUUUUUAAUUAUUAUGUCAUGUGCAGAGUGGUAGAGUAAACCCAUUGUUCCUCAUGAACUUAACUUGUUUUUGUGGUUUUAAGUGCAGGAAUGAGACCUCAGGACACUAAGUUUCUGUGAACAAACUUUAAUGUUUUACUUAAAAUUCUUGUUCAUAUCCAAUGCAAUGCAGCCUCUGGUAGGAUUUUACACCUUUUUAACUAUAUGAACAGAUAUUUGGUCACUGUGCCUUUAAAUGUUACUUUUGCAACAAAUGUACUGAAUAGAAAGUCUCUGUGAUGGUAUUAGCAUGUGUAGUGACUAAUGCAGAUACGAACAUAAUACAGAU